CGCUUUGACAGUAUUUCCACAUUCACCCAUUCACACACUGAUCUUUUUCUGUAAGUUUCCCAUAAACUGCCAAGAUACCUGUGGCGGUGGGGGCGUGACUAUGGGCGUGGUCACCAUGACAUCAUCGAGUAAUUUGCAUAAUUUACUACAAUGAUAUCAUUUUCUCUAAAAAGGCUCAAAAAAUGUAUACUUACUAAUUAAUAAUAACAGUUUUGUUUUAAACGUCCAUCCAUUUUACAAUAUAAUUACAACACUUUAUGUACAUAUUUAUAUACAGAUUUGAACAAUAAGUUAUUCACUGAAAUAUAUUUAUUAAUCGUGGUUGUUACAAAAAAUAUAUCUUAUAAAAAUACAAAAGCUAAAAUGUCUCUUAAAGCUCUGCCCCUUUAAUUAGUGCAUACUAAAUAAUUUAACUUUAGUCUACGACUACAACCAUAUUAUUUACCAGCAACAUAAAGUGAAACAGAGGCAGAGGUGUCCUGCCACAGUCAGUAACAAAUAAACAGAAAACAGUAGUGGUGGUAGAUAGACACAAAGCUUCAUCAAACAUCUGAUCCACUGAACAAAGAGCUCCAAAAAUCUUGAUCCUACACUUCUCUUUUGUAAAGUAAAUCUGAACAGCCGAUAUGGGCAUCUACAUCAACUAUAUGAUUUGCCUGAGAAGCUGGACAGGCCAAAAAAUAAAUAGAUAAAAUAAAAUAAUUUUUUUGUGGCGGCCUUAAUUCUUUCGUGGCGGGCCGCCACAAAUAAAUUAAUGUGUGGGAAACACUGGUACAUUACUAAAAUAAACUAAUACUCAUUUACUUGUGACUUUGGCCGGAGACAUAAAGGACGUUUUAGCCUGCAGCAGAUUGUUGACAUGGUUUUUUCCAUUUGUGCAUCUUUUUUUUUUUUUAUUACAAUCCCCCCAUUUUGUUAGUUGCUGUGGUAGAAUCCAGGUUAAUACUGCCACUGCUUUUAUUUUAUUUUGACGCUACAAUAUACACCCCCCCGCCCCCCACCUCAACCUCCUCAUGCUCUCUCAGGGAGAGCAUGUCCCAAAUUCCAAGCUGCUGUUUUGAGGCAUGUUAAAAAAAAAUAAUGCACUUUGUGACUUCAAUAAUAAAUAUGGCAGUGCCAUGUUGGCAUUUUUUUUUCCAAUAACUUGAGUUGAUUUAUUUUGAAAAACCUUGUUACAUUGUUUAAUGCAUCCAGCCUGGCAUCACAACAAAAUUAGGCAUAAUAAUGUGUUAAUUCCACGACUGUAUAUAUCGGAAUCGGUAAUUAAGAGUUGGACAAUAUCGGAAUAUCGGAUAUCGGCAAAAAAGCCGUUAUCGGACAUCUCUAAUUAUUAGCACUCCACGCGAGUCAACAUCAACAAAGUUCACCCUUUGUGUAUUGACGCACAGAAUAAAACGUUUGGUGGACGAAAUGAGACGAACAAGGAGUGGCAUAAAACACCUCUUUCUCUGGCAGCGUCGGAGAAAGUUGCACAUGUAAACAAACUACGGUGAGUUCAAGGACAGCCGAAAUUAGUAGGACUAAACGGCGCUGGCCAUAUAAUCAGUGAAGCAUGAACACAAACAUAUUAAAUAGAGAUGUCCGAUAAUAUCGGCAGUCCGAUAUUAUCGGCCGUUAAAUGCUUUAAAAUGUAAUAUCGGAAAUGAUCGGUAUCGGUUUCAAAAUUAUCGAUAUCCGUUUAAAAAAUAAAUACUAAAGGCACUGCCUUUGCGUGCCGGCCCAGUCACAUAAUAUCUACAGCUUUUCACACACACAAAUGAAUGCAACCUAUACUUGGUCAACAGCCAUACAGGUCACACUGAGGGUGGCCGUAGAAACAACUUUAACACUGUUACAAAUAUGCGCCAAACUGUGAACCCACACCAAACAAGAAUGACAAACACAUUUCGGGAGAACAUCCGCACCGUAACACAACAUAAACACAACAGAACAAAUACCCUGAACCCCUUGCAGCACUAACUCUUCCGGGACGCUACAAUAUACACCACCUCAACCUCUUCAUGCUCUCUCAGGGAGAGCAUGUCCCAAAUUCCAAGCUGCUGUUUUGAGGCACAGAAUAAAACGUUUGGUGGACGAAACGAGACGAACAAGGAGUGGCAUAAAACACCUCUUUCUGUGGCAGCGUCGGAGAAAGUUGCACAUGUAAACAAACUACGGUGAGUUCAAGGACAGCCGAAAUUAGUAGGCCAAAACGGCGCCGGCCAAAUAGUCUCAUCGGUGAAGCAUAAACAGAAACAUUAUUAGAACAACAAAUAUAUUUUCCCCCAUCUUAUUCCAUUUUUAUAUAUUUUUGUUGACCCCCCCGGCUCAGACAGUAGUUAUGUUGCUGAUGCCGCUUCGCAGCCGUGCUUCCAGCCAGCCGCAGGCUGCACCGUUUUUUUUCUUUCCGGAUUUGACGGCCGCCUAUAAGGCGAGGCAGUUACACUUCCUCUCCCUCACUUAAUGUGCACCGUUACACCCCCCCCAGUACAUAGGUGUGGGAAGAUAAACACCAGCCGCAAUGUUUGUUUCAUUGAAGCUGCAGGCUCAUUCCCCUUCCUCCACGCCGUUAUUGUCUCAUCUUCAACUCCCACUUCCAACCCCGCCAAAAUAAUAGUCACUUGAUCAGGAGCCCCGAAGUCAGCACAGUGUAUCUAAAGAACUGGCUCUGCAUGCGUGUGUGUGUGUGUGUGUGUGUGUGCAAGGUAAGAUUUCUUAGCAACUCGGCGGCACAACGGAAGCUUUUAAUGCCCCGCACCGACUAUUAAGACUUCUUUGACUUGGGCUCUAAUUUCACGCUUGGCGAGGUUCUGACGGCGCAAGCACGGGUUAAAUGGCUCGCUUAAGUGUUCACAAUUGUAAUUAUUGCAAGUACACACCAGCUGAAAGUCCGCGUUCACUUUGUUAGUGGUGACGCAGCUUGAAAAAAAAAAAGAAAAAAAAAAGAAGACGAAGCUACUUCAGACAACCAGAGCUUUUUACACUUCGGGGGUAUUGAACACGUCCACCUUUGUGUCCGUGGAGGGUUGCCGUUUACUAAAUUAAGGUUUGAUUACACAUGUUAAAGGCCUACUGAAAUGAAAUGUUUUUAUUUAAACGGGGAUAGCAGAUCCAUUCUAUGUCAUACUUGAUCCAUUUCGCGAUAUUGCCAUAUUUUUGCUGAAAGGAUUUAGUAGAGAACAUCGACGAUAAAGUUCGCAACUUUUGGUCGCUGAUAAAAAAAGUAGCGUGACGUCGCAGGUUGAAAGGCUCCUCACAUUUCCCCAUUGCUUACACCAGCAGCGAGAGCGAUUCGGGCCAAGAAAGCGACGAUUACCCCGUUAAUUUGAGCGAGGAUGAAAGAUUCGUGGAUGAGGAAUGUGAGAGUGAAGGACUAGAGUGCAGUGCAGGACGUAUCUUUUUUCGCUCUGACCGUAACUUAGGUACAAGCUGGCUCAUUGGAUUCCACAAUUUCUCCGUUUUCUAUUGUGGAUCACGGAUUUGUAUUUCAAAUAUCCUCUUGAAAAUGAGAGUCGAGAAUGCCAAAUGGACAUUCACGGUGACUUUUAUCGCCACGACAAUACAUCGGCGAAGCACUUUAGCUACAGAGCUAACGUGAUAGCAUCGUGCUUAACUGCAGAUAGAAACCAAAGAAAUAAACCCCUGACUGGAAGGAUAGACAGAAGAUCAACAAUACUAUUAAACCAUGGACCUGUAACUACACGGUUAAUGCUUUCCAGUCUGGCGAAGCUUAACAAUGCUGUUGCUAACGACGCCAUUGAAGCUAACUUAGCUACGGGACCUCACUAUGCUAAAAACAUUAGCUAUCCACCUACGCCAGCCAGCCCUCAUCUGCUCAUCAACACCCGUGCUCACCUGCGUUCCAGCGAUCGACGGAGCGACGAAGGACUUCACCCGAUCAUCGAUGCGGUCGGCGGCUAGCGUCGGCUAGCGCGUCUGCUUUCCAAGUCAAAGUCCUCCUGGCUGUGUUGCUGCAGCCGGCCGCUAAUACACCGAUCCCACCUACAGCUUUCUUCUUUGCAGUCUCCAUUGUUCAUUAAACAAAUUGCAAAAGAUUCACCAACACAGAUGUCCAGAAUACUGUGGAAUUUUGCGAUGAAAACAGAGCUUUUUUGUAUUGGAUUCAAUACUUCCGUUUCAACGAUUGACGUCACGCGCAUACGUCAUCAUACAUAGACGUUUUCAACCGGAAGUUUCGCGGGAAAUUUAAAAUUGCACUUUAUAAGUUAACCCGGCCGUAUUGGCAUGUGUUGCAAUGUUAAGAUUUCAUCAUUGAUGUAUAAACUAUCAGACUGCGUGGUCGGUAGUAGUGGCUUUCAGUAGGCCUUUAAGGUGUGCCCUCACUUAUUGCGUUUGGUCUAAUUGUCUUAUUUCCUCAACGCCUGUUUUCAUUAUUGAAGGCUGACACGCACAGCUAAAAUGCGCCCGUGGAUCGAUUAAUCGUGUAAUCGAAUAAAUCAUAUUUUUGCUUGAUUGAGGUUUAAUUAUACAUGUUAAGAUGUGCCCUCAAUUAUUGCGUUUGGUCUAAUUGUCUUAUUUCCUCAAACGCCUGUUUUCAUUAUUGAAGGCUGACACGCACAGCCAAAAUGCGUCCGUGGUUGAUCGUGCCAAUUUGUGUGUGCUAAUAAAAGCAGGUGCGCUCACAGCCCUAUGUGCUGUGUGGUGUGACCGCACAAACAAAGUUCUUGUCUCUUUCAAAACGUGUAGGGGUGUAACGGAACGCCAGGGCUUUCCAAACCCAAGGCCGAAAUAAAAAAAAUUGAAGCAUUUCAGCGCAAUUUUGAUACAUUUUGUGCUACCGUUCACAUUUGAAUCAAUACGGUACUAAUUUCCAAUACCUGGGAAUCAAUACCAGUACUUAACGGCAUCAACUUUCGGUACUUCUGUAUGUGUUAAUAAAUGUCAUUUUGUUUAAUAAUAACAUCUUAUUUAUUUAACCGUGCUGUCCCGUUGUUAUAUCUUGUUUUCGUACACUUCUCAUUUGCAAGUAUUAUCUAGUCGACUUUGCAUGCAGCUGACAAUUCCAAGACACUAGAUGGCAACGGUGGGUGUGCUUUGCCAUUAAGCACAUUCUAGUCUUAUGUUGAGUCCUACAAAGUGUUUUUACUGUAACUAUUGUACUUGUUAUACACCAGCUGUUUGAUUGUAACUAGAGCUGCAGCUAUCGGAUAUUUUAGUCAUCGAGUAUUCUAUCGAAUUUAAUCGUGUAAUCGAAUAGAUCAUAUUUUUGCUUGAUUAAGGUUUAAUUAUACAUGUUAAGAUGUGCCCUCAAUUAUUGCAUUUGGUCUAAUUGUCUUAUUUCCUAAACGCCUGUUUUCAUUAUUGAAGGUUGACACGCACAGCUAAAAUGCGUCCGUGGAUCGAUUAAUCGUGUAAUCGAAUAGAUCAUAUUUUUGCUUAAUUAAGGUUUAAUUAUACAUGUUAAGAUGUGCCCUCAAUUAUUGCGUUUGGUCUAAUUGUCUUAUUUCCUCAACGCCUGUUUUCAUUAUCGAAGGCUGACACGCACAGCUAAAAUGCGUCCGUGGAUCGAUUAAUCGUGUAAUCGAAUAAAUCAUAUUUUUGCUUGAUUGAGGUUUCAUUAUACAUGUUAAGAUGUGCCCUCAAUUAUUGCGUUUGGUCUAAUUGUCUUAUUUCCUAAACGCCUGUUUUCAUUAUCGAAGGCUGACACGCACAGCUAAAAUGCGUCCGUGGAUCGAUUAAUCGUGUAAUCGAAUAAAUCAUAUUUUUGCUUGAUUAAGGUUUAAUUAUACAUGUUAAGAUGUGCCCUCAAUUUUUGCGUUUGGUCUAAUUGUCUUAUUUCCUCAACGCCUGUUUUCAUUAUUGAAGGCUGACACGCACAGCUAAAAUGCGUCCGUGGAUCGAUUAAUCGUGUAAUCGAAUAAAUCAUAUUUUUGCUUGAUUGAGGUUUAAUUAUAAAUGUUAAGAUGUGCCCUCAAUUAUUGCGUUUGGUCUAAUUGUCUUAUUUCCUAAACGCCUGUUUUCAUUAUCGAAGGCUGACACACACAGCUAAAAUGCGUCCGUGGAUCGAUUAAUCGUGUAAUCGAAUAAAUCAUAUUUUUGCUUGAUUAAGGUUUCAUUAUACAUGUUAAGAUGUGCCCUCAAUUAUUGCGUUUGGUCUAAUUGUCUUAUUUCCUAAACGCCUGUUUUCAUUAUUGAAGGCUGACACGCACAGCUAAAAUGCGUCUGUGGAUCGAUUAAUCGUGUAAUCGAAUAAAUCAUAUUUUUGCUUAAUUAAGGUUUAAUUAUACAUGUUAAGAUGUGCCCUCAAUUAUUGUGUUUGGUCUAAUUGUCUUAUUUCCUAAACGCCUGUUUUCAUUAUUGAAGGCUGACACGCACAGCCAAAAUGCGUCCGUGGAUCGAUUAAUCGUGUAAUCGAAUAAAUCAUAUUUUUGCUCGAUUAAGGUUGAAUUAUACAUGUUAAGAUGUGCCCUCAAUUAUUGCUUUUGGUCUAAUUGUCUUAUUUCCUCAACGCCUGUUUUCAUUAUUGAAGGCUGACACGCACAGCCAAAAUGCGUCCGCGGACCGAUUAAUCGUGUAAUCGAAUAAAUCAUAUUUUUGCUUGAUUGAGGUUUCAUUAUACAUGUUAAGAUGUGCCCUCAAUUAUUGCGUUUGGUCUAAUUGUCUUAUUUCCUAAACGCCUGUUUUCAUUAUUGAAGGCUGACACGCACAGCUAAAAUGCGCCCGUGGAUCGAUUAAUCGUGUAAUCGAAUAAAUCAUAUUUUUGCUUGAUUGAGGUUUAAUUAUACAUGUUAAGAUGUGCCCUCAUUUAUUGCGUUUGGUCUAAUAGUCUUAUUUCCUAAACGCCUGUUUUCAUUAUUGAAGGCUGACACGCACAGCUAAAAUGCGUCCGUGGAUCGAUUAAUUGUGUAAUCGAAUAAAUCAUAUUUUUGCUUGAUUAAGGUUUAAUUAUACAUGUUAAGAUGUGCCCUCAAUUAUUGCUUUUGGUCUAAUUGUCUUAUUUCCUAAACGCCUGUUUUCAUUAUUGAAGGCUGACACGCACAGCUAAAAUGCGUCCGUGGAUCGAUUAAUCGUGUAAUCGAAUAAAUCAUAUUUUUGCUUAAUUAAGGUUUCAUUAUACAUGUUAAGAUGUGCCCUCAAUUUUUGCAUUUGGUCUAAUUGUCUUAUUUCCUAAACGCCUGUUUUCAUUAUUGAAGGCUGACACGCACAGCUAUAAUGCGUCCGUGGAUCGAUUAAUCGUGUAAUCGAAUAAAUCAUAUUUUUGCUUGAUUGAGGUUUAAUUAUACAUGUUAAGAUGUGCCCUCAAUUAUUGCGUUUGGUCUAAUUGUCUUAUUUCCUAAACGCCUGUUUUCAUUAUUGAAGGCUGACACGCACAGCUAAAAUGCGCCCGUGGAUCGAUUAAUCGUGUAAUCGAAUAAAUCAUUUAAUAAUAGAUGACUUACCUCGCCUCUGGACGUCCCUCAAUCGGAUGCUUUCUCGACAGGUGCUACAGCAGCGAACUUGUGCUAUUGUGGUAUGCGAGCUCCACUGUGCAAUGUUUGCGUACGACUGUGUCAGGUUCAAACACUGAUGACAUCUAUUAAACAAGACAAGAAGCAAGGAAUUAAACGGGGACCGAAUUCAAUUCGGCUCAAUUGAGGAGAAACGCGCAGACACUGUACCCUUGCACAGUGUCGUCCCACGCUCUGACGAAAGAUUGUACGCCUCCUCUUUUAUUUGGACUUUCCCUGAUUACAUGGCAACAGCUGUUUCUAAAGGAAGGGGGUCAUAAACAGCCAUUGCCUUUGAUUACAAAACAGUUCAAAGAAAAGGUGCCUGGAGGGGGGUCAGCUUUGUAGAUCUCGGGGCAAGACAAAAUCUUCCUGUGGAUUACAAUACAUCAAAGAAACCGACACCCUUAUGUCGCUCUCCAAAAAAUCGGAUUACAAGUACACGUGCUGCACCGUUACACCCCUACCUACGCAAAGACUUUGAUUGAUUGAUUGGGACUUUUUAUUAGUACAUAUUCCGUACAAUUGACCACUAAAUGGUAACACCCGAAUAAGUUUUUCAACUUGUUUAAGUCGGGGUCCACGUUAAUCAAUACAUGGUAGCGGUAGUGAAUCCUUCUUUUAAGCAUGCUCAAUUCCCCAAACAAUUCAUAUGAGGUCAUGAUGAUGUCAUUUUCUAUAUUUGCUGUAAAUAAGACAUAAGGCACUACUGUACGAGGAAGAGCUAUUGCCUAGAUUCCAUUUGUACUGGCUUUGUAGAAAGUUCUAUUUUGAAAAGAGCAUCGUAUAUUUGAUAUAGUCGUAUGUAAAAUGUCUAUUUAUGGUGACCGUUUCAAAGAAUAAUCAUUUUAACGAUAAUAAUAAUAAGCUGUUUGUCGUGGCCGCAUGCAUUGAGAUUUGAACUUUAGGGACUUCAUGUCUUGUUCAAUACUGCAAACUUUAUUCAAAUUGCUUGCCAUCAAAUGUGUUUACGUGCGAGGAAUCGCGACGGAAUCGGGUGUUUACUGUCGAUUCACACCGGCCGGCUCGCAAUUCAACAUGCCGUUAACUGUAGUAGUACGUCAAAGCUUUAAAGUCCAACGCCACCGUGGUCGAAUCAGAAUUCUACCCAACAUUUCUGUAAAUAUAUCUAAAAAAUGU